rnacentral:tRNA from 1 species
AACUAGCUCAGUUGGUAGAGCAUGAGACUUAAUCUCAGGGUCAUGGGUUCCAGCCCUAUGUU